UAGCUAGAAAAUCAAAACAAGGAAAAGAGAAAAAGAGAAAGCUAGUCGGGUCAAGAUCACCAACUGGGUCGCAUUUUGGGUCGGCCACAAUUAUCUCUACAUCUGUAUUUUGACUUUCGAGCUAAAUUUGAGUGAACAAACCGCGUCACCCUGUCGCAAACUCAAUUUCAUUUCAACAAAUAUUGAUUCAACGACGGGCUGUGGACCGAUCAUAACUCUUUUGAGUUUGAAUAAAUGAGAAUUUCAGAACAAAACAUGUGCAAACCGUACUGAUUUACUAAUCAGGACAUGUUUCACGUUUGAGAAGCUGGUUCCUGCUGCUGCUAUAGAGAUCCUCGAAGCCACAACCUAAGUGAUUGAAGGCCAGAGACCGAAUGCAUCAGCUCGGAUUAUAAGAGAAGAGACAGAGAAAGAAGGAAGAGACAGAGUGGCGACAGAGAGAGACGAAGGCAACACCGCGGCACUAAAAGCAAAGUUUUAGGCCGUUAGGUAGUGAUUGCACGACCUAAGAGAACAUCAUUUCCGUUCUAUUCACAGCUACAUGCACCCUUAUUGGCACUUGAUUUGAGGAGUUCACAACCUCCCUUUGGUCACCCAUUGCACGUGGAGACCACCGCCCACCCUGCAUUUGCUUGACAGCCUUGUCUGAUCGUGUGGGUGUCUUAUGCGAACUAGUUCGGGUUGAGGACGAGCGUCCUCUUGGCAAUAGAUAUGUUCAUGUGGACGACUUAGAGGCCGGACACGUGAACGGCUUCAUGCUACGUGACAACUUAAUGAUCUAUGCGGGAUAAAGUGCUAAAAGGUAAUUUGCGAUUAAAACCUCGUAGGAUUGUUAGGUUAGCAUUGUUUAAUUGUGACAAAGUGAUAUUACGUAUUUGAGAUUAGAUUCCAAAUGUUGAUCAUGCAUGUAUGGAUGAAAAAUAAAUGAAAUAUAUUAUUUUAUUGCUCGUUCCGUUUCA